UACGAAGGGGGCUAGCGUUGCUCGGAAUCACUGGGCGUAAAGGGUGCGUAGGCGGGUUUUUAAGUCAGAGGUGAAAUCCUGGAGCUCAACUCCAGAACUGCCUUUGAUACUGAAAGUCUUGAGUAUGGGAGAGGUGAGUGGAACUGCGAGUGUAGAGGUGAAAUUCGUAGAUAUUCGCAAGAACACCGGUGGCGAAGGCGGCGACCUGGGUCGAUACUGACGCUGAGGUGCGAAAGCGUGGGGAGCAAACAGG
rnacentral:rRNA from 1 species